UACGUAGGGGGCAAGCGUUGUCCGGAUUCAUUGGGCGUAAAGAGCGUGUAGGCGGUCGUGCAAGUCGCGUGUGAAAGCCCCCGGCUCAACUGGGGAGGGUCACGCGAUACUGCUCGACUUGAAGGCAGGAGAGGGAAGUGGAAUUCCCGGUGUAGUGGUGAAAUGCGUAGAUAUCGGGAGGAACACCAGUGGCGAAGGCGACUUCCUGGCCUGUUCUUGACGCUGAGGCGCGAAAGCUAGGGUAGCAAACGGG
rnacentral:rRNA from 1 species